CAGCCGCCGCGGGAAUACGUAGGGUGCGAGCGUUAAUCGGAAUUACUGGGCGUAAAGCGUGCGCAGGCGGUCGUGUAAGACAGGUGUGAAAUCCCCGGGCUCAACCUGGGAACUGCAUUUGUGACUGGCAAGCUAGAGUGUGGCAGAGGGGGUGGAAUUCCGCGUGUAGCAGUGAAAUGCGUAGAUAUGCGGAGGAACACCGAUGGCGAAGGCAGCCCCCUGGGCCAAUACUGACGCUCAUGCACGAAAGCGUGGGGAGCAAACAGGAUUAGAUACCCCUGUAGUCCCUGUCUCUUAUACA
rnacentral:rRNA from 1 species